rnacentral:rRNA from 1 species
CCAAUAGCGUAUAUUAAAGUUGUUGCAGUUAAAAAGCUCGUAGUUGAAUUUCGGGGUUAGCAGGUCGGUCGUGCCUUUGGUAUGAACUGGUCUCGCUGAUCCCUCCCUCUUGACGAACUGUGAUGCCAUUAAUUUGGUGUCGCAGGGAAUCAGGACUGUUACUUUGAAAAAAUUAGAGUGUUUAAAGCAGGCUUUCGCUUGAAUACAUUAGCAUGGAAUAAUGAAAUAGGACGUUUGAUCCUAUUUUGUUGGUUUCUAGGAUUGACGUAAUGAUUAAUAGGGAUAGUUGGGGGCAUUAGUAUUCAAUUGUCAGAGGUGAAAUUCUUGGAUUUAUUGAAGACUAACUACUGCGAAAGCAUUUGCCAAGGAUGUUUUCAUUAAUCAAGAACGAAAGUUAGGGGAUCGAAGACGAUCAGAUACCGUCGUAGUCUUAACCAUAAACUAUGCCGACUAGGGAUCGGAUGAUGUUAAUUUUUUAAUGACUCAUUCGGCGCCUUAC